rnacentral:rRNA from 1 species
AUUGAACGCUGGCGGCAUGCCUUACACAUGCAAGUCGAACGGCAGCACGGGUGCUUGCACCUGGUGGCGAGUGGCGAACGGGUGAGUAAUACAUCGGAACAUGUCCUGGAGUGGGGGAUAGCCCGGCGAAAGCCGGAUUAAUACCGCAUACGAUCUACGGAUGAAAGCGGGGGACCUUCGGGCCUCGCGCUAUAGGGUUGGCCGAUGGCUGAUUAGCUAGUUGGUGGGGUAAAGGCCUACCAAGGCGACGAUCAGUAGCUGGUCUGAGAGGACGACCAGCCACACUGGGACUGAGACACGGCCCAGACUCCUACGGGAGGCAGCAGUGGGGAAUUUUGGACAAUGGGCGAAAGCCUAAUCCAGCAAUGCCGCGUGUGUGAAGAAGGCCUUCGGGUUGUAAAGCACUUUUGUCCGGAAAGAAAUCCUUGGCCCUAAUACGGUCGGGGGAUGACGGUACCGGAAGAAUAAGCACCGGCUAACUACGUG